rnacentral:tRNA from 1 species
GCGAGCGUGGCGAAAUUGGCAGACGCGCCGGACUUAGGAUCCGGUGGGCAACCGUGGAGGUUCAAGUCCUGUCGCUCGCACCA